rnacentral:rRNA from 1 species
UACGUAGGGUGCAAGCGUUGUCCGGAAUUAUUGGGCGUAAAGAGCUCGUAGGCGGUUUGUCGUCGUCUGGCUGUGAAAACCGGGGCUUACCCAGGCCCGGCCAGUGGCACGGGGCAGACUAGAGUGCGGUAGGGGAGACUGGAAUUCCUGGUGUAGCGGUGAAAUGCGUAGAUAUCGGGAGGAACACCAGUGGCGAAGGCGACUACCUGGCCCAUUCUUGACGCUGAGGCGCGAAAGCUAGGGGAGCGAACGGG